rnacentral:rRNA from 1 species
CCUACGGGCUGCUGCAGUAAGGAAUAUUGGUCAAUGGACGCAAGUCUGAACCAGCCAUGCCGCGUGGAGGAUGAAGGUCCUCUGGAUUGUAAACUUCUUUUAUUUGGGAAGAAACUCCCGAUUUCCAUCGGGAUUGACGGUACCAGAUGAAUAAGCACCGGCUAACUCCGUGCCAGCAGCCGCGGUAAUACGGAGGGUGCAAGAGUUAUUCGGAUUCACUGGGUCGAAGGGGGGCGGGGAUGUGCAGGUUUAAAUCUCCGUGCUUAACCCGGAAACUGCCAUUGAUACUAUUUGUCUUGAAUACUCUGGAGGUGAGCGGAAUAUGUCAUGUAGCGGUGAAAUGCUUAGAUAUGACAUAGAACACCCAUUGCGAAGGCAGCUCACUACGGAAAUAUUGACGCUGAGGCACGAAAGCGUGGGGAUCAAACAGGAUUAGAUACCCCAGUAGUC